AAAGAAAUUGCUUCUAGCUAUCUGCCUAUCCCUUAAUCAUAGAAAAUGGAGAUCAGAGUCCUUUCUUUCAUGGCUAAGAAAAUCAUAAGGAGUGCUAUACUGAGUGCUAUAUUCAUUCUCUUGCUUCUCUCUGUUGUGGUUGUGGCAAGAGGAGGUGAUGAUGAAACUGCGCCAGCGUGCCAAGGAAAAUGCGAGGAGUUUGCAGAUUGUGAUGAAUUUUGCAAAAGAAUAGGAUUUAGUUCUGGCCAAUGUAUUCCACCCCUUGAGCAAUUCUGUUGCUGUGAUCCAUAAAAAUAGAUUUUAUGGUUUUAUGUUGCUCUCAAUAAGUAUGUAAUUUUGUUUUGUUCGUGGUAUUUUUCGUUGAAUUUAAUUGAUAAUUCUUAUUAACUCAUAUUUUAUCCAUUUUCUCUGUUUAUCAUAAAUUUGACACUUUGUGUU